CCUACGGGGGGCUGCAGUGGGGAAUCUUAGACAAUGGGCGCAAGCCUGAUCUAGCCAUGCCGCGUGAGCGAUGAAGGCCUUAGGGUUGUAAAGCUCUUUCGUGGGGGAAGAUAAUGACGGUACCCCAAGAAGAAGCCCCGGCUAACUCCGUGCCAGCAGCCGCGGUAAUACGGAGGGGGCUAGCGUUGUUCGGAAUUACUGGGCGUAAAGCGCACGUAGGCGGAUCGGAUAGUCAGGGGUGAAAUCCCGGGGCUCAACCCCGGAACUGCCUUUGA
rnacentral:rRNA from 1 species